rnacentral:rRNA from 1 species
UACAGAGGUCCCAAGCGUUGUUCGGAUUCACUGGGCGUAAAGGGUGCGCAGGUGGUCGGGUAAGUCUGACGUGAAAUCUUCAAGCUCAACUUGGAAACUGCGUCGGAUACUAUUCGGCUAGAGGAAUGGAGGGGAGACUGGAAUUCUCGGUGUAGCAGUGAAAUGCGUAGAUAUCGAGAGGAACACCAGUGGCGAAGGCGAGUCUCUGGACAUUUCCUGACACUGAGGCACGAAAGCCAGGGGAGCAAACGGG